UUGUUUUCUCUUUGGAGCAGAACUAGCACUUGCGGUGUGCUAGAGGAUUUCCCAUGCCAAAGAUGCAAUUCAUGUUCUGAAGAGUGUACAGUAAAGAAUAAUGUUUUAAAAUCUUUGUCCUUUAUCAAAGGAUCUGGAUAGACUUCAAAGAACAUUUUAAUCUAUAUCUUACAGCUGGAAAAGCUCAGGCAAGGAGAAAUGACAUGGCUUCCCCAACGUGAUCUGCUGAGUUGGUGUCAAACCAGGAGGAAGAUCCUGUGUUUCCUGCCUGCUGUGUGGAUGCUGUGUCUCAUCAUGUUGGCAAGGUGGUGAGAAGAAACAGCUUGAUGACCCUCGAGAACAAAAAUCUCCAUUUACUUGCACUUACAAACUCUUCCUGCUUUACCAAGGCAUCCUACAUCUGCCAAGAGGAGUUUGUUCUGGAGAAAGUAAAGAUCUGCUGUGAGAUUACAGUGAGGCAUCUGACUUCUAAGGACCAAAAAGUAAGAGAAAAUAUCCCAGGUAGUUGAGACCAAGCACCCUGACCAAGCACAUGAAUGCAGUGAGUUGUAUUUCUGAUUCUUCCAAUACAAAUUACAUGAGGAAUUUCGCAGUAACUAUAGCUGGGAAAGAGCUCCUGCACAUUUCCCUGUGUAUCCUGAUCAGCACUCACCUCAGAUUAGUUUUCAUUUUCAUAGCCUGUCAGCAGCCCUUGAGAUCAAGAAGAUUAAAACACCCUGGUAACUCAUUAAUGAGCCAGGACUCUGCAACAGCUGGACCAAAAAUGGCCUGUGUUUGGCUUCAUCUUAAUUCUUUGCCAUCUCCCCUCUGCUCAC